GAAUCUCUGCUGAAGUGAAGUGAGAAGGAGGAGCUGCAUGACAUCUUAACUAGCCAAAUACGGACUUUGCUCUCACUUCACCUGUGUUUUCAUUCACUCUUUCUACAUCGCCAGAAUCAAGCACAAAUACAAGCUCCAGCGCGAUACUGCUGCAGUAUGGAUAAUAUUCAAAAUGCUAAGAGUGAGACAGAGGAGGUGAAAGUUACGAUGCUGGAAAAUGAAAAUAAAGCAGAAGAUGUUAAUCAAAAGCCUGCAAAGCCUCAGUGCACCAGGAAAAGAUGUAAGGAAUCUGCUAUGAACCAGAAGAUGGAGUACCUGCGGGCUAACAAAGGACUCGUAGCCACUGUAUUGAUUUCAGCUGCUCUUAUUUUUGCUGUUGUAGUUGCCAUGCUUGCCACUACAGAUGGGCACAGUCACUCAGUGCACAACACAAAACACAUUGUACACGUGCAUAAUGUCACAAAAAUGCCAUAGCAAUAGCUGCAGCAGACUAAAUCUGUUUGGCCAGCAAUGUUAUUUUCUUUAUUAAAAAGUAUUUUCAUUUGAAACAGUUUCUGAUAUUGAUUGUUUUAUGUUAUAAAGUGUCACCUGAUCUAAUAUGACAUUUUGACAUAACCAAAUUUCCAAACCUGUAUGUUUUUUUUUUUUUCUUCUUUUUUUUUUUUUGUGUUAUAUGAUAAAUAUCUUUGUUAAUUCAGUGAAAAUACAGUGGGGUCCAAAACAACACUGUCUUUUUUGUGAUCCACAGAACAAAGAAAGUCAGGUUUGGAAUGGCUUGAGAGUGAGUUAUAUUUAAUUAUAAUUUUUUAAGAAUGCAUGUUUAACUUAAUGUUACUGUACCAAUCUGCUGUUGUGUUCACUAAAGCUCAUUUGUCAUAUAAACAUGACUUGGCAGGAAAGGCUAUCGAGAAAAACUGAUUCCCCAUGAAAACCGUGCUGAUAGUUUGGUAUGUAAACACAAGGAGAUGUGAUUAAAAGCAAGGGCAUUUUCUGAGGUCAAGUGCACAAUCUCCUUUUUAUUCCACGAAGUGACAAAAGGAGCACAAAUGCAAUUUUAGUUUUUGCUGUGGUUGUUAGUCAUUUUUAACAGAUGCCUUUUGUUCGAGGCAAAUGAUUUUAGAAAAAAAACACUUUCUUGUUCACAACCUUGAACCUUUUUUCUUGUUUGUUGGAAACAAACCACCUCAAGCUGUCAAUGUAUUUUGCUCAGAAAAUCUAUAUAAAUUCCUCAAAAAUAUGCAAAAAACUACUAUAAUCUGCUGUUAUCAUUGAAUCAGUUGAAAUCAGAAUCAAUUGAAUUUUUAUUUUUUGACAAAUCAGUUCACAUGCAAAUACCUAAACAAACUGAGUCAGGCAGUCCAGUCUAGUUGCUUCAUAAGAUGCUUUCUUUACUUGAAUUAAAUCAAACUGAACUAUUGUCUUAUGUGGAGCUGAAUCACAUCAUUCAACAUCAGACUGCAUUGAACUGGCUAUAGCUGAGUAACAGAACUGCUUAGUUAAACUGCAUUUGCCUAGAAAUUGAGUUAAUUCAUUGUUAUCAUACUGAACCAAGACUAAACUGACUUGAUAUGUACAAUGACACAGUUGUAUUUUUAGUUGCUUUAAUGCAGAAUGUCUCCAUAGUUGAGUUUCCAUAACUGAUUCUGCUAUUGAAGCUGCUUUGACACAAUAUGUAUUGUAAAAAGCAGUAUGCAAAUAAAGGAGACUUUACUUGACUUUACUUGACUUGAAGGAAUGUGAAUAUUAUUCCUAUCAUUCAUCUGAAUUUCUUUGGGACACUGUAAGAAAAAAAAUAAAUAGUAGAAGAUGGAUAAUAUCAGAAAAUGCAUUUUCCCUGAAGUUUACUGACGUUUACUUCAACCCUAACGCACAACACAUUUCAGCAUAUGGGAAAUACCUGUGAAAGAGCAGUAAGGAACUUUUUUUUAGCUUGCAGUGUACUUAAAUGCACUAUAUUGCUGAAAGGUAAAGCUAAAUAGAAUUAUUUUAAUAUUUGUCAUGUUCUGGAAUGUUAUGGAAAUAAACAAUGAUAUUUGUGGUCAAAAUAUUGAUACAAAACCAUGCAAUAUGAAAUCUACAUUGUCCAGAAUUGUCCUGCUUCGAAAUUUGAUUUGUGUUGAGGAAAACACUGAACGCAAACAUUCAGCUCUAUUUUAAUCACCUUUCUCAGUAAGCCAAACAGAG